GUCUGGUCGUCCUGGAUGCAAGAAUAAGGUUAGAGAGGUUGAGUUAAUGUUUGAGGCAUCAUUCCUUACAUGCUCCAGAGCACAGAUUCUUAACUUGCAAUCUGAGGACUUUUCAACGACAAGGUAUGGCCUACUACCUUCCUUUCUGUAUGAUCUGGGCAAACCGACCGGUGGUGGCAAGAGUAGUGUCAAUGAAGUGAUCCACACAGCAAGAGAGGCAGUUUCAGUGCGGGAGUCUAGCUGAUUUCCUGGCUUCUCCAUGCACUUAUCUCAACAUAGUUCCACGAAGUGAUGCACCUGCGCAGUGAACCCUGCCUUCUGCUGCUCGACAGCCACCAGGCUUUGUAACUCAGUUUCACCAAGCUCUGCCAUUGUCAGCGUCAAGAGCUUCGCUGUGGUACGCAUGCGUGGUCCUGAAAGCAACUUUUGCACUUUAUCAUCAACUCUAAGAUACUCAGGGGCUUCUAUCAAUGAUGAGACACAUCUGCAGAAACCCAUACUCCUUCCAUAGGAUCACACGAUCCUUGUCCAAGGGCGAACACACAGAACAUUGUUCAAACCAUACCAAUCCUGACCGGAGAGAACAGAGACAAACUGACUCACAGGAGAGAGGACCUAAGUACUUUAAUACAUUUUUUGAAAUUAUUAUAAAUUAUUUUACAAUAUCCAGAGCAAAUGAAACUAAUUUAAAAUAUUUUGUAAUACACAAGUCCCCAGAAAUACUUUGUGAAGUUAAAAAUAAAAUUUAAAAAAAUG
ensembl:antisense 4921504A21Rik RIKEN cDNA 4921504A21 gene